AGAAAGUGAGGCUCAGUUUAAUUUGGUAUGGGACUCUGCAAAAACCAUUUUACAUAUUAGCCAAUUCUGUAAAAUGGACCAAAUGGCUCUUCUCCACUUCCCCCGAUGUCCCCCGGACCUGUUGGUCAGGAUAUCCUUUGGAAAAUCUCUGAAGCAGACACCCAAAUCAGAGCCGAGCUUUGCCGUGACUCUCCAGAAGCUGAUGGGCCUGGUGUUUGAACUGAGCCUGUCAACAUGUGGAAAACACAGAGCUCUCUUCCCAGGAUGUAGAUCUUGUGCCAGUUGGGCCCCAUUAAAGACUGGAUCCCAUCCUGACCAUCUGGGAGCUGGAAAAGCAAGGGUCUCCCCCAGAGGUUUCUUUUGACUUCAUGCCCCGUGUCUGGGAAUGUAGCUGAAGAAAGCAUGCAUCUGGAUAAAGACAACGAGGAGAACCUGUGUGAGACUAAUUGCUUCACACACGAGGAAACUUUGGCUUCAUCCAUCUGAGCUAAGUGUGAAUGAUGACCUUCCUGCUCACAGCUCCUUAGCACUACAACCUGCCUUCUUUGAUCCUGAAACUAGCAGCUACUGGACAGGCAAGAGGACAAACAGAAGGUUUUCUUCCAGCUGGAAGACUGGACCUCUGUAUUUUCACCAUGCACAGGAGGCAAAUCUAUUCUUUGUUUAUCCAUUCUCCAACUGGAUGCUUUAGAAACCAGAAGCAAUUAGAAUGCCUGACCUGAACCAUGGUACCAGAGUAUGCAAACUUCACUUUCAGAAUGCUAACUCCAAAUAAACAAAUAAACUCAGCCAAUAAACAAACAAACAAAUUUGACAGUUUCCUCAUGCAAGGUGUAGCAGCCUUUAUAACACUUAUGCUGUUGCUUUAACUUGUGUUACUAGGGAUUUGUUUCUGCCUUACUUUAUUUUCUUCAGUAAUUGCAUUAUGCAGUUAAGCAUUUUAUUGUUUAUUAGGGUUUUUAUUUCAUUUUGUUAUUUGUCUGCAUUUAUUGUCCUGUCCACUAGCAUAUCUAGAUAAUACUUGGCAAAGAUUCAUGUAUUAUAUAUGAAAAAGAGUCGUGUGUGUGUCUGUGUGUGUGUGUGUGUGUGUGUGUGUGUGUGAUGUUUGUCACUUUAAGGAGAAAUGUAACCCAUGAUACAGAGAUCUCUCCAUACUAGAUGCAAUUAAACCUAUUAAAUAUUAAAUGAGGAGAUUGAGAAUUUCAAGUGAUUUUCAUCCUUUAUUCCAAAGUGACUUCAUUUGGCAAGAAUGCCCUUUGCUUUGACAGCAUUAAUGGCUCUCGCAGAAAAGAAGAAAAGGAAAAAUUCACAGGCACUAUUUGGAAAUGUAGCUCCAAUGUCCAUCUACAUUAAGGCAGUGUUAGCUUAGUGGUGAAUAUCUAGAUGUACCUAAACUUAGCAAAAUAGUGUCUAAGUUCCAAUUUAUGCCAUUUGCUAAUUAUAGACUAAGCCCAAAUUAUAUUCUCUUCCUAUUUUGCAGCUUUCUUAUUUUAUUCUGAAUUAGCAAAAUUUUUCAACAAUCAAUGGACAUAGCACCUGAGCAAGGGAAGGACAAAAAUGCUGGUGCAACAACUGUAAUCCAAAACAUUCCAGGGCAAGCGCUUUUGGAUUCCUGAGUUUGUCUGUCGGAGAUCUGGAACUGUGUGCAGGUUCAUUACACGGGGUUAUUUGACAAUUUAGCAGUAAGAAAUCUUGACAUUUUGAUGUACCUGUAACUUCUAAAUUGCACUUGAAAGACUUGUUGAAGGCUUUUUGAUUUAAUGACACACAACAUAGCAUUGUUUCAUAAUAUGCAAAAAUUGUUUGUUAACUACACUGCAGCUCAGAAUUUUAUAACUCAAGGUGUGACUACACUGUUUUCCACCUCAUGUUUGAUCUGCCAAA
rnacentral:lncRNA from 1 species